rnacentral:lncRNA from 1 species
AUUCUUUCUGGGUCAGUCUAUGGAGGGUGCAACCAAUUCUGACCUGCAGGUGACCUGCAGGAAACUCUGGUUUGAUUUGGGUUACCUGAAGUUUUCUUGACUUCCUUUAAUGGAAAUAUGUACACUCUCCUUUUUCCUCCAGGUGCUACCAACUUUUGUUGUUGUUGUUUUAUGCUGGCCAGUUUCAUAUUUUAUUUUAUUUUGUUAUGCUGGGGAUCAAACUCAGGACCUUGUGCAUACAAGGCAAGCACUCUACCAACUAAGCUCUAUCCCCAGACUGAGUUUCAUAUUUUAAUGCUGUUACCAUAGGUAUGUCCAUUUGCAAUAUCACAUCUUACCUUCUCAUAUGAUUCAUAUUGAGAUUACAGAACCCUAGAUUCAGUGACUUCCCCUCAAACAUUGACACAAGUGUCUGCUGACUUCUGGCACUCCUUCACUAUUGCUAAUGAGCAACCAGAAGCUGCAGUCAGUCUGAGUUUCCUUUUGUAAGUAAUGUGAAUUUCACUCUCUGGUAGCUUUCCACUAUCCCUCUGGUAAUCUUUAUCCUUGGUGAGAAAAAACUCAAGAAGUUCUCUCUUUGUGUCUGUCCUUUUUCAUUAUCAAAUCAGCAUAGUUUAAUCUAAAGAUUAAACUUUAAUCUAAAGAUUAAACUAACUUUCUUCAGAUCCAGAACAUUCUACUGUAUUUUGUUAGUUUUUCCCUCAAUUCCCUGGGUCCUUGGAUCUUUGCACUGCAUUCCUACUGACUUAUUUAUUGACAUAGUCUCUCAUCACAUAUUUUGAAUUUCUUUAUCUUUUGUACAAAAGUUGAAAGAUUUGACUAUUUCUUCAAUCUCUUCAGUGAAAUUUUACUUUUUUUAAUUUCUGAAGCGUACUUUAUUAAAAAUCCCAAAAUUUCAAAUGGAAAUUUCUCCAUAUUCACAUAGAAGGGGCUUAGGUGUUAUCACUUCUUUCCACAUGAUAUGAAACAAAACUGAAAUAAUGUGAAAACCCAUGACUCUUCUUGGUUCCAUCAGAGAACUGAGGUCACAAGGCAAAUUAGAGACCCAAAAAAUGAUGACAGAGAGGUAGACUUGAGCAAUCCCAACUUACUAUGGGUAAGAUAACUUCUAAACUAGAACUGAGGUGGGAAACCUGAGCUACAAUUGAUGAAUUUCUGGAAGCUUAUUGUGAAUGAGUAUGAGAAACAGAAGCUCCAUGGAUGGAAUCAGUAAAGAUUAGAGAACAUAUCCCACCCAACACUAUGUCUGGAAAGGCGGGGGGGGGGUGCCAUUUUGAAAUAUGCUGGAGGAUCCUGUUCUUCACAAUGAUGCUCUCAGAAAAAACCUGUUUGAGCAGAGCAUAAACUACUAGUGUUUUAGCAGGGACCAAACUACCUGGGAGAAGAAAAAUACUCAACUCCAGCUUCUUCUAACUUUGCUGUCUAACACAAGGGGUAGAGAGACUUAGAAUCAUUUUUGAAGGACACAGCCCAGGGACACAAGCUCACUAAAAACUAAGACCCAAUCAUAGGACUAUAGGACUACAGAACAUGUCUCUUCCCCUGCUACCUUACCACUACAUCAACAGAGCUCUUGUAUGAUAACAGAAAGAUAAAACAAAAAGAAUGGGGAGUCUCAGAUACGAUUUUUUUUUAUUGGUUGUUCAAAACAUUACAAAGCUCAUGAUAUAUCAUCUUUCAUACAUUUGACUCAGUUGGGUUAUGAACUCCCAUUUUUACCCCAAAUACAAAUUGCAGAAUCACAUCGGUUACACACUCACAUUUUUACAUAAUGGCAUAUUAGUGACUGUUGUAUUCUGCUACCUUUCCUUUCCCCUACUAUCCCCCCUCCCCUCCCUCAGAUAUGAUUUAAUAAGUAGUCUUGCAGAAAACUCAAAGACAGCAAGGAGACAAAAACAAGGGCACCAGAGGAAAUUUAAGCCUCUGAUGCAAGUAGAGCAAAUGGUAAAGACAGACUAAACCCUGGCCAGAGAAGCAAAACCUUCACCGCAAGGACCUGCUUUGUUUAAUUUCUUUCACUCAGAACAUCAGGUACAAGGAAGGUUAAACGAUAAAAGAACGGUUUGAGGAGACAGAGCAAACAUCAGAACAAGUUAGAGAAAUGGCAGAGAGAUUUAAAAUUUCAGAACAGAAAUUUAAUAACUCUGACUAAUAUGUAAAGAAAUCGAAAUGAAAGAGUUGGUAAAACAGGUAGUAAAAGAUGGAUAUUAUAAGAAAGAAAGAGAAGAAAAUGCUAGAAUUGAAAGUUACCAUAACAAGAAAGAAGAGUGUCAUGGAUAGACUUUUAAAUACACUGGAUAUAACUAAGAAAAGUAUUAGUGAACUUGACAAAAUAUCAAAAGUUAACAUUAAAUUAAAUUUUCUUCUUUACUUUUUAUUGUUUCUUUUUAGUCAUACAUAAGAAUAGAUUUUGACAUAAUUAUAAAAGCAUGGAGUAUAAUUUGUUUUAAUUCAUUCCCCAGUACUUCCUAUUCCUCUCCCCUCCUUCUUCUCCCUAUUCUCUUCCCUCUAUUCUACUGAUGUUUCUGCUAUUUACUUAUAGUUGUUUUAUUAGUGUCUUAUGCAUGCACUUGAUGGUGAGAUUUACUAUGGUAUAUUCACAUAUAUACAUAGGAAAGUUAGGUGAAGAAAACAAUGGAAAAAAAAUCACAGAAUAACCAAGAACUGUGUAACACUUCCAAAAAUAUAUAACAUAUGCAUAAUGAAAAUUCCAGAAGCACAAAAAUAAACAAUCAAAGCAAGGAAUAGAAGAAAUAUUUGAAACAAUAAUGACUGAGAAUUUUUCAACAUUAAUGAUAGAUACAAAACCACAGAUCCAGGAAGCUCAGAGAAUCAUAAUCAGCAUACAUAUACUAUUAGGUGUAUUAAAUUCAAACUGCAGAAAAAUUUGAAAGCCGGAAAACUUGUCUAUACAGGAACAAGUGUAAGAAGUACUUUGGAUUUUUUUAAGACCAGGCAAGCAAGAAGAAAGUGGAAUGAACUUUUUUAAAAUGAUGAAAGAAAAUAUCCAACAACUUAGAAUUCUAUAUUCAGUGAAAUUAUAUUUUAAAAGUUAAGGGAAAAUGAAGAAUUUCUCAGAAAAAUGAAAAUUUA